rnacentral:lncRNA from 1 species
GCUGCAGCAGCUCCAUUUCUCUGCAGAGGUCUGGCCCAGACCAGCGGCUUCGCAAGGCCAGCGACCAGCCCUCCGGCCACAGCCAGGCCACGGAGAGCAGCGGAUCCACGCCUGAGUCCUGCCCAGAGCUCUCAGACGAGGAGCAGGAUGGUGACUUUGUCCCUGGCGGUGAGAGCCCAUGCCCUCGGUGCAGGAAGGAGGCGCGGCGGCUGCAGGCCCUGCACGAGGCCAUCCUCUCCAUCCGAGAGGCCCAGCAGGAGCUGCACAGGCACCUCUCGGCCAUGCUGAGCUCCACGGCACGGGCAGCACAGGCACCGACCCCAGGCCUCCUGCAGAGCCCCCGAUCCUGGUUCCUGCUCUGCGUGUUCCUGGCGUGUCAGCUGUUCAUUAACCACAUCCUCAAAUAGGAGCCCUGAGGGCAGAGCUCCUGGCCGGUCCUGAGCCCUCCCUCCCAGGCACCCAGCACUUUAAGCCUGCUCCAUGGAGGCAGAGAGGCCCGGCAAGCACAGCCACUGUGACGGGGAGUCCAGGCGCAGGAGGGACCCGGGGCCACAAGGCGCUGCGGGCCCAGGUGUGCUGGGCCCCUCUCAGGGGCACUGGCCUCUCUGCAGGGCCUUCCGCCCAGCGCUGGCCUUAAUGCUAAAGCCAAAUGCAGCUUCUGCUGUGCGACGCACUCCUGGCCAUCUUGCCGUGUCACCCCCUGUCCGGCCUCCACUUGCCAUGGGGGAUGGAUGGAUUUAGGGUGGGAGGGCCUGUGGGGGCCCUGGACAGUCACACCCCAGCAGCAGUGAGUGGGCAGGUUUGGAGGAGCCCCGAGUGGCCCAGGAGUCCCCCCACACACAGAUGCAUAGGCCUGCCUUCCGGAGACCCUGUCCACAUUGCCGGGACCACCCUGGUGGGGCCACUGGUGGGUGCCAGGGACAGGUUAGGGCCACUCUGGGGAAGGCAUUUUGGUUUUUUAUUCCACGCUGUGCUGUUUGGAUGGGAGCCCCACAGAGGCAGGUCCUGGAACCACCCCACCCCCACACCUGG